rnacentral:rRNA from 1 species
CACGUAGGCACCAAGCGUUGUCCGGAUUUAUUGGGCGUAAAGAGCUCGUAGGCGGUUCAGUAAGUCAGGUGUGAAAUCUUUGGGCUUAACCCAAAGCGUGCAUUUGAUACUGCUGUGACUUGAGUUCGGUAGGGGAGUGGGGAAUUCCUAGUGUAGCGGUGAAAUGCGCAGAUAUUAGGAGGAACACCGGUGGCGAAGGCGCCACUCUGGGCAUUACCUGACGCUGAGGAGCGAAAGUGUGGGGAGCGAACAGG